rnacentral:rRNA from 1 species
GACGAACGCUGGCGGCGUGCUUAACACAUGCAAGUCGAACGGAAAGGCCCUGCUUUUGUGGGGUGCUCGAGUGGCGAACGGGUGAGUAACACGUGAGUAACCUGCCCUUUAUUUUGGGAUAACUUCAGGAAACUGGGGCUAAUACCGGAUAGGAGCACCUGCUGCAUGGUGGGGGUUGGAAAGUUUCGGCGGUUGGGGAUGGACUCGCGGCUUAUCCGCCUGUUGGUGGGGUAGUGGCUUACCAAGGCUUUGACGGCUAGCCGGCCUGCGAGGGUGACCGGCCUCCUUGAUACUGAGAUACGGCCCAGACUCCUACGGCAUGCAGCAUUGAGGAAUAUUCCCCACUGGGCCGAAGCCUGAUGCAGCAACGCCGCGUGCGGGAUGACGGCCUUCGGGUUGUAAACCGCUUUCGCCUGUGACGAAGCGUGAGUGGCGGUAAUGAGUAGAGAAGCACCGGCUAACUACGUG